CUGAUGCAGCGACGCCGCGUGAGGGAUGAAGGCCUUCGGGUUGUAAACCUCUUUCGCUCAUGGUCAAGCCGCAACUUUGGGUUGUGGUGAGGGUAGUGGGUAAAGAAGCACCGGCUAACUACGUGCCAGCAGCCGCGGUAAUACGUAGGGUGCGAGCGUUGUCCGGAAUUAUUGGGCGUAAAGGGCUUGUAGGCGGUUUGUCGCGUCUGCCGUGAAAUCCUCUGGCUUAACUGGGGGCGUGCGGUGGGUACGGGCAGGCUUGAGUGCGGUAGGGGAGACUGGAACUCCUGGUGUAGCGGUGGAAUGCGCAGAUAUCAGGAAGAACACCGGUGGCGAAGGCGGGUCUCUGGGCCGUUACUGACGCUGAGGAGCGAAAGCGUGGGGAGCGAACA
rnacentral:rRNA from 1 species